UCCCGCAACGAGCGCAACCCUUGAUCUUAGUUGCCAGCAUUCAGUUGGGCACUCUAAGGUGACUGCCGGUGACAAACCGGAGGAAGGUGGGGAUGACGUCAAAUCAUCAUGCCCCUUAUGACCUGGGCUACACACGUGCUACAAUGGACGGUACAAAGGGCAGCCAACCCGCGAGGGGGAGCCAAUCCCAGAAAACCGUUCUCAGUUCGGAUUGCAGGCUGCAACUCGCCUGCAUGAAGCCGGAAUCGCUAGUAAUCGUGGAUCAGCAUGCCACGGUGAAUACGUUCCCGGGCCUUGUACACAC
rnacentral:rRNA from 1 species